rnacentral:rRNA from 1 species
GUGUCAGCAGCCGCGGUAAUACGUAGGGGGCUAGCGUUGUCCGGAAUCAUUGGGCGUAAAGAGCGCGUAGGCGGCCCGAUAAGUCUGCUGUGAAAGUCCAGGGCUCAACCCUGGAAUGCCAGUGGAUACUGUCGGGCUAGAGUACGGAAGAGGCGAGUGGAAUUCCUGGUGUAGCGGUGGAAUGCGCAGAUAUCAGGAGGAACACCAAUAGCGAAGGCAGCUCGCUGGGACGUUACUGACGCUGAGGCGCGAAAGCGUGGGGAGCAAACAGGAUUAGAUACCCCCGUAGUCC